GACUCGGUAGCUCAGCAGGAUAGAGUGACUGACUACGAAUCAGUAGGUCUAGGGUUCGAAUCCCUACCGGGUCACCA
rnacentral:tRNA from 1 species